GUCAUUAGCUAACAGUUUAGGGGUAUAACAUUCGUUUUGCAUACAAAAAAUCCUGGGUUUGACUCCCAGAGCGACA